rnacentral:rRNA from 1 species
GAUGAACGCUGGCGGCGUGCCUAAUACAUGCAAGUCGAGCGAACAGACGCGGCGCUUGCUCCUCUGACGUUAGCGGCGGACGGGUGAGUAACACGUGUAUAACCUCCCUAUCAGACUGGGAUCACUUCGGGAAACCGGAGCUUAUCCCGUAUAAUCUCUUGAACCGCAUGGUUCAAUGGUGAAAUACGGUUUUGCUGUCUCUUCUCGCUGGAUCUGCGCCGCUUUAGCUGGUUGGGACGGUAACGGCUUACCACGGCGACCAUGCGUAGCCGAACUGAGAGGGGGAUCGGCCACACUGGAACUGAGACACGGUCCAGACUCCUGCGGGAGGCAGCAGUAGGGAAUGUUCCGCAAUGGGCGAAAGCCUGACGGAGCAACGCCGCGUGAGAGAUGAAGGUCUUCGGAUCGUAAAGCUCUGUUAUGAGGGAAGAACAAAUGUGGAAGUAACUAUGCACGUCUUGACGGUACCUAAUCAGAAAGCCACGGCUAACUACGUG